rnacentral:rRNA from 1 species
AGUGAACGCUGGCGGCAGGCCUAACACAUGCAAGUCGAGCGGCAGCGGGUCCUUCGGGAUGCCGGCGAGCGGCGGACGGGUGAGGAAUGCGUCGGAAUCUGCCUUUUUGUGGGGGAUAACGUAGGGAAACUUACGCUAAUACCGCAUACGACCUACGGGUGAAAGUGGGGGUCCCAAAGCCACACGCAGAAUGGUGGGCCCACGUCGGAUUAGCUAGUUGGCGGGGUAAAGGCCCACCAAGGCGACGAUCCGUAGCUGGUCUGAGAGGAUGAUCAGCCACACUGGAACUGAGACACGGUCCAGACUCCUACGGGAGGCAGCAGUGGGGAAUAUUGGACAAUGGGCGCAAGCCUGAUCCAGCCAUGCCGCGUGUGUGAAGAAGGCCUUCGGGUUGUAAAGCACUUUUGUCCGGAAAGAAAUCCUGUCGGCUAAUACCCGGCGGGGAUGACGGUACCGGAAGAAUAAGCACCGGCUAACUUCGUG